AGAAAGGUCAUAGCUCAGUGGCAGAGCGUCUGCUAUGCAUGCAGGCAGUCCCAGGCUCAAUUCCUGGCCUCUCCA
rnacentral:tRNA from 1 species